AUUGAACGCUGACGGCAGGCCUAACACAUGCAAGUCGAGCGGAGCGGCGGACGGGUGAGUUAUUCCUAGGAAUCCGCCUGGUAGUGGGGGAUAAUGCCCGGCACAGGGCGCUAAUACCGCAUACUUUCAUACGAGCCUAGGUCGGAGUAGCUAGUUGGUGGGGUAAUGGCUUACCAAGGCGACGAUCCGUAACUGGGCUGAGUGGAUGAUCUGUCACGCUGGAACUGAGACACGGUCGAAACUCCUACGGGAGGCAGCAGUGAGGAAUAUUGGACAAUGGGCGGAAGCCUGAUCCGGCCAUGCCGCGUGUGUGAAGAAGGUCUUCGGAUUGUAAAGCACUGGAAGUUGGGAGGCGGUACCAACAGAAUAAGCACCGGCUAACUUCGUGCCAGCAGCCGCGGUAAUAC
rnacentral:rRNA from 1 species